rnacentral:misc_RNA from 1 species
UUGAAUAAAAUUGUUUGAGUUGUUGCUGACUCUUUGGAGUAUAUGUGCACGCUCACAUCAUUUUUAACCACCUGUGCACCAUUUGUAGACUGUAAAUGCUUGAGGAUUGCCAUAUUAGCUGUUCUCGUAUUUAGGUCUAUGUUUUUAUAUACACUAUAAUUGUUUAAGAAUGUGAUAUUGGGCCUUUGUGCCUUUAAAAUUGAAA